UACAGAGGGUGCAAGCGUUAAUCGGAAUUACUGGGCGUAAAGCGUGCGUAGACGGUUGCGUAAGUCAGAUGUGAAAGCCCCGGGCUCAACCUGGGAAUUGCAUUUGAGACUGCGUAGCUAGGGUGCGGAAGAGGGAAGCGGAAUUUCCGGUGUAGCGGUGAAAUGCGUAGAUAUCUGGAGGAAUACCGGUGGCGAAGGCGGCAUCCUGGACCAUUACUGACACUGAACCGCGAAAGCUAGGGGAGCAAACGGG
rnacentral:rRNA from 1 species